CGCAUCUGUGCAUGCAGCAUAUCAAUAAGCGGAGGAAAAGAAACUAACAAGGAUUCCCUUAGUAACGGCGAGUGAAGCGGGAAGAGCUCAAAUUUGAAAUCUUCAAGGUUUUACCUUGACGAAUUGUAGUUUAAAGAAGUGUUUUCUGUUGAAGUUUUGGUAAAAGUUCUUUGGAAUAGGACGUCAUAGAGGGUGAGAAUCCCGUAUUUGACCAUUAUUUUCAGCUGUGUGAUACACUUUCAAAGAGUCGGAUUGUUUGGGAAUGCAGUCCAAAAUGGGUGGUAAAUUUCAUCUAAAGCUAAAUAUUGGCGAGAGACCGAUAGCGAACAAGUACCGUGAGGGAAAGAUGAAAAGAACUUUGAAAAGAGAGUUAAACAGUACGUGAAAUUGUCAAAAGGGAAGCGUUUGACACCAGUGUUGUUUUCUCGAAAAUCAAUUAAAAAGAGUUAGAUCUUGUUGUGUAUUGACCUUAACAGCUUGCAUUUCAAUUUUCUUGCUUUUUUUAAUGCACUUUUCGUUUAACAAGUCAACAUCAGUUUCUUUUGUUGUAAAAAGGUCAUUGGAAGGUGGCUUUCUUUUCGGAGAAAGUGUUUAUAGCCUUUGACUCCUGCAAUCGGAGAGACUGAGGUCUGCAGCGUAGAUCCUUCGGGGUUAGAUACAUUUGUGCUAAGUUAUAGCUUUUUAUAGACAACUUGUUGACUAUGAUUAGUCUUGUAGCUUACUCGCUUAUGCUAUUUUACCUACGCUUAGGAUGUUGACGCGCGUGUGUGCGUG
rnacentral:rRNA from 1 species